ACUCUCAAUCUACGAUACAUCCACAGAGUAAAUUCACUGCCAAUGAAUAAAGAUAGAAACUGCCCACCUAGACAGGAGAAAAUUGACCAAACAAGAAAGACCACCUGGAUCUGAAUCAUCUUCCUCCAUCAUCUCCAUCUUGAUUCCUCUCCUGCACCUGCUCCUCCUCCUCCCUCCUUCCUAGACUUUAACCUGCCUAUCCUUAUCCUGGACCUGCCUUGCUGCAUAAUGACGUCAUCCUGUAAGUUUCACAUGAUCUGUGAGUUGUAUCGUGGGUAUUCCGAGAUUCUUUUUGGCUAAUAUCCACUUAUCGGUGAGUAAAUACCAUGUGUGUUCUUUUGUGAUUGGGUUACCUCACUCAGAAUAUUUUCAAGUUUCAUCCAUUUGCCUGCAAAUUUCAUAAAAUCAUUGUUUUUAAUAACUAAGUAGUACUCCAGUGUGUAAAUAUACUACAUUUUCUAUGUCCAUUCCUCUGUUGAGGGACAUCUGGUGAAUAUUAGUAUCGUGCCUGUGUGUAUGAAUAUGCACGUGAUGUGUGCCUGUUCCUCAUAGUAGUCAGAACAUGACCUCAGAAUUCCUGAAGUUGGAAUAGUAGAUAGUUAUUAGUCACCUUGUAAAUACAGUUGAUUCCAAUUAUUUGCAAGACUAGCAAGAGCACUUAUUUUACUGGUAAGCCAUCCCUCCUCCCUAUGUUGCUUAUUUAUGAUUAACAUUUAUGUUUCUAAUGUUUUAUCCAUGUAUUCAUAACUGUAAGCAUGCAUUUCCUAUUAGUAAGCUCUUACUAAUAUUACAGUUUAAACUGGGGCACUUAAAGUUUCAGGAAGAUGAAUACAGAACUGUAUUCAAUUUUAUAUCUUUGCUGGGAUUAAAGGCGUGAGCAAGUACACCCAUCUUACCUAUCCUUUCUGUUGUCAGUAAUCAUUCAAAUCGUGUCUCUGAUAUGUACUCCCUACUGUUGAUCUGUUUGCUCCUCUUUCUCUCUCUCUCUCUCCAUUAGUAGGUGUUUCUCUUGCAAGAGUAUAUCUUAUUCAAAGGGCAGAGAAAAUGACGGGUCACUAUCCUCUUCAGUUCUCUUCAAAAAUUGCUUGGAUGCAGUGACCUUUAACGAUGUGCAUGUGGACUUCACUUCCGAAGAGUGGACUUUGUUGGAUCCUUCCCAGAAAGGUCUUUACAAAGAUGUGAUGCUGGAGACCUACUGGAACCUCACUGCUAUAGGUUACAGUUUGGAAGACCAUAAUAUUG
rnacentral:lncRNA from 1 species